rnacentral:lncRNA from 1 species
UCGUGUCAGUGGAAGCUGGGGUGUCGGCGGGCGGCCGCGGCCGGGUCUAGCGGUGCCUGCGGAAGAAGGAGGAGGAGGGCUGGCGAUGAGAAGCAGCAGGGGGAAUCAAGGGCAAGAAGGGACCCAGAGGGGCAGGUGGCUGAGAUGCUGGCGUCCAGGUGACCCGAGGAAUCCUCUGGAGAUACAGGCCCGCGCAUGCGCGUGCUCGAGCGCUGAAGCCCAUUGCCCGCAGGGCGCUGGACUGGCGCCCCGGCCGGCGAGGCUGUCUAGUCCAGGCUCCAGGCCCCGGCUCUGGCCAGGCGCCGCCGCCUCCCGGUGCAGCUGAAAGUCGACGAAGAGGGCGGGGCGGGGGCGGCUUGUGGACUUCCACACUUUUCCUCUCUUCGGGCCAGUCUGGGGAGAGGGUGGCUAGCUGUGGCGGCGGCCAAUUACGUGGCGGACCUGCGGGGCUAAGCUGGCACGUCACUUCCGACUAGUGGAGUUUUUAGCCUUUUAACAUUCAAGGAUUAGAGCUCCCUCUUUGCCCACUAGCAGGGCAUUAGCUGGUGCUGAAGACAGUGGCUGCUUGGCGAGCCUGGAUCUCCAAGUGACCCCCUCAGCAACUCCUGAUGAACAGGCAAUCAGGAAAUGAUUCCUUUCCCGACUGCUUCUGUCUAGUGCCUGGGAAUCUUGAGUCAAUCCCUCAGUAAGUCAGUGACUAGGGAAAUCCCUCUCUGAGCCUCCCAGUUCAUGUUGCUUAGGGAACCUGAUAUUUUCGUGAAACCUGCCUACACAUGGGCAGCCCAACAGCAGAACAAAUGGUGGUGACCAAAGUGAACAAAGAAGUAUAGUUGUGCCAGCUUCGUAGUUGCCCAUGUGGACAAGUCAGCAGGAUCAGGACACGAGGAAGAGUAAAUGUGAGACAGUCAAUGUGACUUCUGCGAUAAACAGAUUUUUAAACCCCGAAAUUUUGCAAAAUUUUGGUGAAACCUGAACUUUCUUCGUUGCAUAUACUGGCACUAUCUGUACCAUCAUACAACUGUCUCACAUUAAAGCUAUUUUUCUUGGGCA